ensembl:snRNA U6 U6 spliceosomal RNA
GGGCUCACUUUGACAGCACAUAUACUAAAACUGGAAUGAUCCAAAAAAGAUUAGCAUGGCCCUGCACAAAGAUGAUACACAAAUUCCUGAAUCAGUCCAUAUUUUU